rnacentral:rRNA from 1 species
UACGUAGGGGGCAAGCGUUUGUCCGGAUUUAUUGGGCGUAAAGAGCUCGUAGGUGGUUCGGUAAGUCGGAUGUGAAAUCUCCAGGCUCAACCUGGAGGGGUCAUUCGAUACUGCCGUGACUAGAGGUCGGUAGGGGAGUGUGGAAUUCCUGGUGGAGCGGUGAAAUGCGCAGAUAUCAGGAGGAACACCCGUAGCGAAGGCGGCACUCUGGGCCGAUACUGACACUGAGGAGCGAAAGCGUGGGGAGCGAACAGG